UUUAAUUAUCAUAAUAUAAAAGUGAAAUAUAAAAUAUAAAUUAAUUUUAGUUGGGGCAACUGGGAGGGAUAAAAAUCUUUUAUUAAAUCAUUUAUAAUAAUAUUUAUAUUUAUGAUCCAAAUUAGUUAAUUUUGAACUUAGAAU
rnacentral:rRNA from 1 species